UACGUAGGGGGCUAGCGUUGUCCGGAAUCAUUGGGCGUAAAGAGCGUGUAGGCGGUCCGGUAAGUCCGCUGUGAAAGUCGGGGGCUCAACCCUCGAAUGCCGGUGGAUACUGUCGGGCUAGAGUGCGGAAGAGGCGAGUGGAAUUCCUGGUGUAGCGGUGAAAUGCGCAGAUAUCAGGAGGAACACCUAUUGCGAAGGCAGCUCGCUGGGACGUUACUGACGCUGGAGACGACGAAGCGUGGGGAGCAAACAGG
rnacentral:rRNA from 1 species